rnacentral:lncRNA from 1 species
AAACAUGCAAAUUGCAACACCUCCCCGUCUCCGCCAUAUGACCGCAGUUGACCACCUAUCAACCACCCUUGUGCCGCCGCCGAAAAUCGCCUCACGGCGGCGGCCGGUCACCAAACCACCCCAAAUUUACACCACCAACCCACCACGAUCCCUGAUUCACGUCCUGUGGUUGGUUCCUUCGAACAAAUCCCCAUCUCUUCGAAUAUUCAAAAUAAGGGUCGCCGGAACCACCGUCUCCGGCGGCCCAACCCCAAACCAACCUAAAACUACACCCCUGAACCACCUCCCCUUCCCUUUUCCAACCAUCCAAGCCGCGUCCUUCAAAUCUAAAUGAAAUUGCUCGAAUAUUAAAUCUAAGUCCCUAAAUCCUAAAACCCACCAAAAUUUGUUCAAAAUGGCCUCAGAAGACCCCCUUCUAUCCCUCUCCCAAACCAUACAACCCGCAACCCUGGAAUCUGACUAACCACAAAAGAAAAUCAGAUCUGAGACCUCCCUUGGUCUCAGAAUCAAUGAACUCCACUCUGAGCCUGUUCAAUACCCAAGGAAAAAGUCUUAGAGGAGUGCAAGACCUCUUAAAAGAGGUCAUAAAUUCUGGAAUUGGAAAUUUCGAGUUAGAACUUCAUGCAAAAGCUAAGUAUUCUAUGUUUUAAUUACUGCCAUUACUUGUAUAUAUUUAAUUUCUUUGUUUCUUUUAAAUUUUAGUUGUUUUCCACGGUCUCAUCCUGAAGUAUGAUAAGUAGUCGUCUUUGCUUGCUAUAUGCUUUGGUUCCUAUGGGUGUCACUGGUUUGAAUUCAUCUUCUAUUAUGGUUUGAUAUCAUGCUUGCCUCUUGACUUGUCAGUUGUUUCACCUCUGAAAUUUUACAUGGCUUGUGAUUCCUGCCUUUUGACUCUUCAAUAGUUUCACCUCUGAAAUUUUACAUGGUUGUUGAUCAUUGUCUCUAGAUUCUGUAUUUGUUUUACCUCUGAGGUUCUGAAUGGCUUUGUUAGAUGCGUAUCUUUCUGGAUCCGACCUGCUUUAUAUCAUGAUUCUCAAUAGGUGUCUUCCUUAAAGAGUUUCAUAUAAGUCAUAUUUCUUUCCUAGUAUUGGUG